GCCGGACGACUUUGGGAUGGGCUCCGUAAGUGGCCCGUCCUUCAAGUAAGGCACGAUGUAUUUUUUCAUAUCGCUCCGGUUGAUACGAAGAUGACCACCAGGGACACUGAUGAACUUAACCCUCCCAGCUUCAUCCAAGGCUCUCAAGCCAAUCCAGUCCUCCUUGUAGAGAGUGGUCUGUUGUGGAGGCAAAACUGGAUCAAAGGCGCCAUCGGGAUAAUAUCCGAACCAUGAUGUCUCCGGAGGAACCAAGACUUUGUCAUUCUCGGCCAUGAUAAGAACCAAAUUCUGUAAUCUACUGAACCUUUCCUUAUAGGUAGAAUUCCUUUCAUU
rnacentral:misc_RNA from 1 species